rnacentral:lncRNA from 1 species
AAAGGUACCGUUCGGUUCGGGUAUAAGAAAGAACUGUCUAUUUCAGAGAUAGGUAUAAGUUCAGGUAUAAGCAAGAAUUAGACCAAUUUUGUGUAUGGAUGAAAAUUGGGUUGUUUUCGGAAUAAGAAAAAUAACGUUGAAUAGAUGAGAUGGAAUAAGAAAAAUAAUGAGUAGUUACAAAUAAAAAAUAAUGAUAUUAUCUUGCUCAUUAUAUUUAAAUUAAAAUUUAAAAUUAUAUAUAUAUACUUUUAAAUUUAAAAUUUUAACUUUUUAAAUUUUAAAAUUCGAAAUUAAAAUUUAAAAUUUUAACUUUAAAUUUCAAAAUUCGAAAUUAAAAUUUAAAAUUUAAAAUCCAAAAAUUCUAAAUUUUAAUUUUUAAAUUUUAAAUUUCAAACUUUAAAUAUAAGAUCAAUUUUAAAUUUGAAAAAUAUUCAAAUUUGAAAAUUUAAAAUAUCAAAUUUAAAAUUUAAAAUAUAGAAUUUAAUAUUAUAAACUUUAAUUCUGAGUUUAUACAAUUUUAAAUUUUAAAAUUAAAAAUAGGGGUGAGAACAACUGUUCCCACUCUAGCGAGUUAUCCAAAGAUAAUAAUUUAAUAUCAAUUAAAUUAAUUAAUAAUUUAAAUAUAUUAAUUAAUUAAUUAUUAAUUAGAUUAAUUAAUGAUUUAAUAGUAUAAUUAAAAUUAAUUUUUAGAGUUUAAUUAAUCUUGUUCUUGGUUGUUCUAGAGAUAAAGGUGAAAUAGCAAUUUCAAACUUAUAUCGGAUUCUACCAACACUACUGUCUCGGAUAUAAAAAAAAUAGCGUUUGAAUAUAAAAUGAGAUAAGGGGUUAUCCCUUUUCUAUUCCCGAACCAAACUUUUUAGGUGUCUAGUUUCUAUUACUUGUACGAAGCUUUUUCUAAAAAAGUUUCACAAUGAAGUAUUUGUGCACUUAGCCGAUAUCUUAUUUUUGAUAACUUUUUGAGGGAAAACACGCCCUAAGGCGAAUUUAUUUAUCAAUCGGGAGGUACAACUUGAGAGAAUUCAUCUAUAGAGGACCAAAAAGAUAGUUUGUUGCUAGUGAACUCCCAGUUGGCCAAUCGGUCUACAACUACAGCAUUUUUAGAAUAUCCUGAAGGCCAUCCGUAACUAAAUUGCUUGGAACUUUCUAGAAAAGUCCGAAGAUCCGUGAUUCUUGUUCGAGCUUCAUCUGUCAGCGAAUCUGAAUGAUAGCUCCUAAGGUACAAGGCUUUGAUGAUAGAUGCUGAAUCUGAGUAAAUAUGAAAAGUUUCUCCCGAGUACCUUUGCAACAAAAGAUUUGUCACUCGAAAAAUUACUCCAAUUUCCGCAGAGCAAGCGUCAUGGACAUCCUUCAGUACAUCGGAUAUGCACAUAAUGAUUCCAUGCUGAUUAGCGACCAGGCAUUUUACACCACCUGUAGUGCCACCUUUUCAACUCCCAUCCACACAUGCAUGUAAGAAAAAGGUCGCAGGUUUUUGAAUCAAAGUUGGGUUCUGAAUGCUAAUCAUCAUCAUGUUCUCUUUAGAAUAUAAGGUCGUUCAGCUACGAGCCCGUGAAAUGAUGGUAGUAAUAUUGAAAAUUUUUCCUUCAAAAAUCAUCUUAUUCCUUCCUUUCCAUAAGCUCCAUAACAAAUGAACAUAGAAAGCCCUAUGAGUCAUCAUGGCUUUAUUAGUUAGGAUAAAAAAAAUUCAAAAGGACAGAGGCCUAUCCGCAUUAUCAAUUAUAAGGUCUAUACUGAAUGCGAACCAAACACGUGGUGUCUGCUCACAAUUAAGAAAUAAAUGUACCAACAUCUCAGGCUCUUGUAGGCAAAGCGGGCAAAGUCCAUUAAAGUUAGGUAGUCUCGAGGCUAGUACGGCUCCAACCAAUAACGUGUUUGCUAUUAGUUUCCAGAAAAAUACUAGCGCUGAAUGAUUUAACGCUCGGAUACACAUCUCGAUCGGGUUCAUAUUUUGCCUGGUGCAUGAAAAAUUAAUGGUUAUGUGUUCGUGCCGUGUGCGUAAGUCCAGUAGCUCCGUACGUGACAUCGAUCGAGGAUCACGUGAAAGCUAAUGGAUAAGAAAUUAUCAAAUGAUAAACAUAGAUCUGAGCGUUUCCUGUGAGAUGAGGCAUAAUUAGCUCGUGAGAUCUAAUGAAUAUGUUAAAUAUAAAAAUAUUUAAAUAUUGUUCUUUAAUAGCUUAAGCUUUUAGAGUACAACGGUUGUUUCACAUGGUAUCAGAACAGGAGGUCGUGAGUUUGAGUCACGCCAGGCUCCUAGCAUAUUAAUUUUCUCUCAUUUUAUUAAAUAUAAAAAUAAAAAUGUUUACGUGAUUGUGAACCACGGGUAUAGAAACAAAUAUUUGUCUCCCUCGUUGGUAAAAAAAAAUCUUCAAUUGAUGUAUAAGAACAUUUUUUACAUUGUUUUAUUACACAAUUAUAAUACUACUCGUGACUAGAUCAGAUUCUUUGCUAUCUUAUAUAUAUAUAGCUCGACAAAUUAUUUUUCUUCGAUAUUAAUUUUAUUGUGUCGGCAAUACUCAUAAUGUAAAAAAUUUUGCUUAGUUGAUGUAAACAGUUUUAUGCAAAUUUGAUAGCAAUAAAAUCACUAGUCAAUAAAGAUAACAUUUUCGAGCGACUCAAAUAUUUUUUCUAAUGUUAUUAAUUAGUUUUUCGUGUAUAUUCAAUGAGAAAAUUUUCGCCAAAUAUAUUGAAGAAUGCUUUGUAUGACGUGAGAUUUUUGUCAUUUAUCUUCUACUAUAUAUAUAUAUUAAAAAUAUCAUUCUUAAAUAACUUAAGUUAUUAAAAAAAAAAGCAACUGUUUCACUUUUUUUUAACCUAAAAUAAGACAUCAUUAUUAGUAUUUUCUGAUAUCCGAGAUCUCAAAUUCGAAUCCUAAUUGAUUCACAUUUUCAACUAAAUUUAUAUCUAAAUGAAAUAAAUAAAGUGGACAGCAUGCUACCUACCUCUCAAAAAAAUAUAUUUUUUCUAAUUUAAUUCAAGUAUAAGCAUUUGGCCAAUUAAAAUAUCUCAGCUUUAGAUGCACGUGCUUAAACUUAUAUUAUAGAGAUAAAUAGGGCGUACGCAUUUUCUAUUCAUUUCGCAUUUAUUACGCCCCGCAUUCCGAUCUAAUUGUUUGCAACGUAGUCGACAUUAGCGCUAUAUCCGUCAAAAAUCUCCUGGAUAACAUAUAUUAAUAACAAAUUAGGUGUGUAAGCAUAUAAAGUAAUAUCAAGAAUAGUACGUUAUCACUGCUCGGAUCCUGUUUAAGGCUUAGUUUGGUAUUGAGGUCUAUCUAACGCUAUUAGAUAAAAUAGAGUUGAGAAAAAAGUAUAUAGGGAUAUGCUUCUGUGUUCUCCGAUGGGACCGUAGAAAAUAUAUUGUAAUCGACUCAUCGCAAUAUGCGGAGCACAAUAUUACGUACAGAAACAAACAGGGUAUUUUUCCAUCGUCAUAGUUUCUCACGUAACGCAAUCUCCCUGUAAUCCCAAACGAAGCCUAAAUAAAAAUAUAUAUAUAAUAUAUGCGCUUGUUGCGACAAUUUCAAAAUAAAAAUGUUAUGGUUGUUGAAUUACAAAUAAAUUUUUGGAAUAUUUUACAGAUUAAAUAUAUAGCAUACAUAACAGUAUUUAUUUAAAUAAAUUAUAACAAUAAGUAUAACUUAUAACUGUAAAAUUAAAAUUCAAUUAUUAAAUUAUUUAGUUCGUAAAUUGGUGCGUUGAAUGGACAAAUUUAAGUAUUAAUACUAUGUCCUUCCGAAUCUGUAAUGGCAUAUUUUCCAGCAAAGUACUUUGUGCAUAAUAAAUGGUUCCCUCAACUACGAAAAAUUUUAGAAUGCAACGGAUAUAUAUUGGUAACGUGGCAUAACAAACCAAUCAAAAAUCUCCUUUUAAAGAUAUACAUCCCAUCAUGAUUUUAAAAAAAUAUUUUUAUUAUACUUUUGUUUGAAAAGAAGAACCAGAUUUAUUUCAUUCUUGUCCCAUUUUUACGAAAUUACCAUUUACUGCUAGAUAGAUUCCGAAUACAAUAAAUCACUUAGUGUAAAUGAAAAUGACAAAGACAAUGCUGAGAUCACAUUAGCAGUCCCAAUGCAAGAAAUAUUUACACAUUAUGUAAUUAAAAGUAACAUAAAAUCUUAAGUAGGGAGUAUGUUUGUAUGCAUUGAUUGCUGAAGGGCCUGGUAUAAUUGCCAAAUACUGAUACACUGGUACAGAUUCAAGUGUUUGUGAUCAUAAUAUAACUUUUGUAACCAUCAAACCAAGUUCAGAUUCAAGCAGCCUUCUUGCUUCGGUACCUCACGGCGCAUCCGAGAUAAACCAACAGGUUCAAGAAGCUGAGCCCGGCCAAAAGCCAGAAAAAGUAGUCUAAGUGGCCUUGGUUUAGGUUAUCCGGGAUCCAUCCGAUAUUCCCUCCUCGAGUCGUGAAAUACAUCACCACCGUCAGAAUAAACGAGCUUAAGUAAUUCCCUAAAGCGGUGGUCAGGAGAGAGAAGGCACUACAGAGGCUCCUCAUGGCAUCGGGGGAUUGAUCGUAGAAGUACUCGAGCUGCCCUAUAAAUGUGAACACUUCGGCUGCUCCCACCAGGAAAUACUGAGGUAUCUGCCACAAAAUGCUUAAUGGGACAGCCACAUUUUUAUCCUCUAAAUGCAACUCUUUUGCGAUGGAUAAGCGCUUAAUCUCCAAAACUGCUGCUGAUGCCAUUGCUAGUAUAGAUAUGAAAAGCCCGAUGCCCAUCCUUUGUAGCUCCGAAAAGCCCCUCUCCUUGCCGGUGAAUUUCCUAGCUAUAGGUACAAGAAUUCGAUCGUAUAACGGGACCCAAAUAAUGACACUGAUCACGUCAAAGGUAGAGAGAGAAGCAGGUGGGAUGGUGAAUGAGAAGAUGGUGGUGUCGAGGACCAUUCCUUGUUCCACGAACAUGGUGGAAAUCUGGGCAUAAACUGCAGAGAAUAAUAUGGUUGUUGCCCAUAUGGGAAACAUCCUUACAACUAUUUUAAGUUCUUCCACCUGGGUUACCGUGCAGAGUCUCCACGGGUCGGAGAAGGUAUCAUUUUUAAUGUCAAGAUCAGUGACUGUCGCGGCCUUGUCGAGGAAUCUGCAGAAGAUGCAAUUCAUGAUGUAAAUAAAAGUUCAAUAAAGCUUAGACAUGAAACAGAGCUAUCUUGAUUCAGCAAAAAAAGCACAAAGAAUAUAUUUAAAUUGAAACUAUCCCUGUAACUUAGCUCAAGAAUUGGCAUAAGUUAUUCUAGCUUAACUUUUUGCUAACAGCAGAUUCUAUUACACGAACUACAUAUCUUACAUUUUAAGUUAUGUUUAAUUGGAACCUUCAAGUAUAGGGAAGAGCAUGAUUAACAAUAGAAACAUCUAGAAAAGGCUUACUUAUACUUGCAUUCGGUCAAAACAAGAAGAAUAGUAUAUACAACUUAAAAGAACAUCUUUCAACAUUCGUAGUUUAGAAUAACAAAGCAAUAACAACUUAUACUUCUCAAAGCGGUUAAAUAAUCACUAGUGUUAUACUAACUAGGAAACAUAGAUUACUUUUAAAAUACUAAAAAAAGAAAAGAGAGAUAGAUUAAGUUUUUAAUGCUCAACAAAUUAGGCGAGGUUUAUCAGAGGUGAUAAUAAGCAUACUGAAGCUCAUCACUAUGCUCCAGCUUUCGACUCCCUUCAAUCGCUGAAGCAUUGUUAGGCAGCUCGUAUAACUGAGAACUGUCCUCAGGUGUAUUUAUCCUCCAUUUUUUCAAUGAGGCCACAAUUACUUGACACAUUCUCACAAAAGGGCUCCCUCCUGGUUUUUGAAACCUAUAGAGUGGGGUGCCGCAGAAAAAGCUUAUGAUGGCUAAACCCAUAAAGAGUGUGGGAAUGCCAAAUCCUAAACCCCAACCCAGGUUGUCCUGCACCCAAACUAGGAAGCUACUCGAUAUAAGAGCACCAAUGUUGAUGGAGAAGUAAAACCAAUUAAAGAAGGACCCCUUCUGAACUCUUUCAGAUGAAUCAGUAUCAUCAAAUUGGUCGGCACCAAAGGAUGAGACACAAGGUUUAAUUCCACCAGUUCCUAGUGCAAUAAGAUAGAGACCGAGAAAGAAAAUAGCAUAUUGGGGUGGGCUUGCUUCCGGACAGAUAGAUCCAUCACAAGGCGGAGGCCUCAAAGCAGGAACAGAUGCCGAAAUAGUCAGAGUGCCCAUACCCUACAAUUUAGUGCAUAUUUGUCAAUUAACAAGAAUAUAAUGAGAUCACAGUACGUAAAGAGUGAUUUGAUGUUGAGUAGCAUAUCAAAAUAAAACAAAAGGAUCUUUUACAUAUAUAACCUUACAACAUCAUCUAUUUACCAAUAUAAUACUGUAAAAUCUUAAUUUCCACCUAUAAUUCUCGAUAGGACAAUUAAUUACAAAACCACGUUAAAUAUCGGGAAUCAUACAAUUGAUGAUGAAAGUUGGAUUUUCCUUAGAAAAGUUUUAGCAAGUGUUUUUGGUAAAUAAAAGAGUGUAAUUUGAAGCAGUUAUUUUUUGAAAGGCAUAUGUGACAAUUCAGAUUUCACAGAGAGCAAUGUAGAAAUCUCAAGAAUGAAUUGGCAAUACUCAAUAGAGUGGGCUAACUAUCAAAAUUUCAAGACGGAAAAAAAUCUUGAACAUAAAACAUAAUAACAUAUUGAGCACCGAGCCACUUACGAUGAAGUAUAUGGACGAGAAAAUAGCAAUUGUCCAAUAUCGUCCCCAGUAAGCAUCAGCCAAUAAGGCCCCAAUUAGUGGGGCGAGGUAGCAGGUUCCCUGCCAUGUUGUUACAUUUCUCGCAGCUAAUGCAUUUCCCUCAUGUAGAUUUUUCGUGAGGUAACUAACAAGGUUUGUCGCUAUACCAUAAUAAGCCAAUCUUUCACAGCACUCAUUCCCUGCAAGGUUUUCAUAAAAUUUAGUGCUAAUGUUGUAUAGAACCAACAUUUCUUAUAGAGCUAAUAUUUUUUUUCAUAGUGGAGCUACAGUCCAUCUCAAGUUGAUUAGUACCUAGAAUGAAGGGGCAGGCUCUCCAGUUGCCUGUCCGGUCCUUUAAGACAGGAUUUCCAUGAAUAUCAACUGAUCCAUCUCCAGUGUAUGGUCCUUUAUGUCCAUCCUGUAGAACAACAAUCAGAGAAUAUGUACUCAAAUAGUAAAAAGGCUCUCAUGAAAAGAUAGAAGUUCGGCUAAUUAAGUUGUCUGUUGAGGAAAUAAACGAGGCGAAAGGAGGCAUUAAUCAAUGACAUAAAAUGGUGAAGCAAUUGCAAUAUACUAUACAAUUUUUGCAAGUUAACCUCUAUGAGUCUAUAAUAAAAAAUAACAAUCAGGAUUAUAUAAUUAGCAGCUACGCUGAAUUUCCCUAAAAACAGACACAUUAUUUUCUUGGUUAUCCAACUGAAUCUAAAACUUCCCCUGCCUGCAAAGAAGCAAUGUAGAUGCACCUCACAGCUGCUUCCGUUGUUCCAGCUUAUGAAGAACGAUUUCAAGUAAGAAUAAGCAUUACUGCAGCCACUUUAAUGGUAAAGAAUGAUAUCCCAAGUUUCACAUUGGUAUUUCUCGAUUUUUUUUUAAAAAAUUGUUGUUAGUAAUUCAUGUUCUUAUAUAUAUGAUCAGAUCUGUAAAAUAUAAUGGAAAAUUUUAAUAUGAUCCUCAUCCUUUUCAUAGACCCAGUCCUUCUAAAUUUGCCUCUUUUACAGCAUUCGUUUGCUUAACUAACUAAUAUAAGAAUAAUAUAACAAAAGAGACACACAAUCCUCUUCGAUGAGGUAAUCCCCACUAUGCUUUAACUAGCCCCACAAAAUCCUCGCAUAAAUUUCUAAACAAAAGGAAAACGGUUAACAAAUCCACAAUAUUCUUUUCUAUGUAACAAUUUUCUAGCUAUAUAUUGUUAAACAUUAGAGUAGAUCAUCAAACAAGCAUCCCCAACUGACACUUCGAUCUAUAACCAAAACUAAUAGCAGCUCUACACAGGUUACAGUAAAAGAAAGAUCAAAAUGUAAUUUUGAUUUAAGCAGAUUCAACUUUUGAUUUUAUCAAUUAUAUUAGACGUUUUUCUUAAAUCUAACAAUGAUUGAGUUUCUUCUCUUUCCAACGAACAUAGCUACGGAGCCAUCAAUUCAACGAAUUCUCAGUAUUUCACAUUAGGAAAAACAAUUUAAAUCAAAAGAACCACAAAUUAAGUGCAAGAGUCAACCAACAAAACUACUACAAAAGCAUCAACAACCCGAUCCGAUUCUCCAUUCGAGAUCUACAAAAGAGAAAUGUGUGUGUGCGAACCUCGGCUAAGAGCCCAUCCUCCAACAGCGCUCUCCGCUCUUCUCCGUCCUCCUCGCGAGUAGCCAUGGAUGGAUCGAGCGAGCACGAGGGAGAGAGGGGGAUCGGAGCACUCCGAUUCUAGGGCUUCGAAGGGGACGAGGACGAGGGGGUUGAGGAGAGAGAAAGUGAAGAGCGAGAAAGAUUCGGGUGGAAUUGCGUGUGAGCACGCAAUACACGGCGUGAUCGGUCAUGUUGUGUGCACUGUUUUGUCCCCCAUAAAUUAGUCGCUGCACCCGGUGUAUCCGUACGUUCCACGCAUUGGCUAAUAUUUUUUUGGUCCUCAAACUAUGAAAAGCUCAUAAUUGGUGCUUGGAUUAUAAUUUGUCACAAUUUUUAGGAUUUGUUUCAUACAGAUGCAUACAAAUAUAGUGAAUUACAAAUAUAUUGCUACAAGUUCAACUUUCAUAUGUUGUUUUGUAAAGUUCUAAUAUUUUCAAAUAUAUCCAUACUGUUAGAAUCUAUUAGAAAACUUUAGUUAACCGUAAGCUAAAUGCAUAACUCUGAUUAAUUUAUGAGAUAACUUAAUAUUUUUACUCCUCUUAUAUUAUACUGUUGUGGUUUUCUGGAUGGACAUAUUUGCAAUACCAAAAUUGACAUUUCACUCAAAAUAUAAACAGUUCUAUAACGGUAACAAAACCAGAGUGACACAUUUUAAAAUAUUAGAAUUUUUAUAAGGAUCACUUAUGAAAGUUGAAAUUUGUAGGAAUAUAUUUAUAAUUUACUCUGUGUUGCAGGGACAUGAAUGCAUUUAAUCCUAAUUUUUAUCACUCCAAUAUUCUUCAUUAUUAUAAUCAAAUUCCACACCAUAAUUUAAUUGAUUGAUUUGAUAGCAAUAACUAAAAUAUCAGAUCAACUAAAUUUGGAUAGAAAAUUUUAAUUAUUAUAAAGUUUGAGUUUAAAUUAAAUUUUGAAAAUUAAAGUAUCAUAUACGUUAUUGUUUCAGGAUCAAAAAUAUAAUUUAGUCUAGCUAAUAUAUUUCAAAAUUGAAAUUUAGUUCAACAAAUUUUACCUGUGAUAGGUAAAGAAUUUAUGUAUAGAAAAAAUUAUAGGGGCAAAGUUAGAAUUUAAACAUUAUUAACUUUAAUUUGGAUGGACAUUUCAUGGAAGGAUUAUUUUUGAAAGUUUUUUAAAUUUGAGUAGGUAUAUAUAAUAUUUUAAUUUUGAAAUGGGUAUUUAUGAAAUUAGAUAUUUUGAUAAGGAUACAGAGAAAAUUUUUUCAAAAUUAUAACUCAUUAAAACUCAAUAUGUAGAUAAACAAUUAAUCUCAAAAAUUAAUAAUACAGAAGAAGGAUUGUUCGAUUUAUAUGAAAAUUAAUGAUGAUCCAAAUUUGUUACUUUUUUAACAUAUAGAUAUUUUGACUUUUAUAGAGUACUGUUUUUUUCAUAUAUUAUAUUUUAAUUUGAAAUUUUCUAAUAUAAUAUUUCUAGAGGAUGGUGUACGAGAUGCAACUCAUACACCCGGUGCAGAGCAACUUUGCCUUCGAGAACACGGCAUCUUAGAAGGAGAAAUUUUCNAAAAUUUUUAUUUAUAAAAAUAAGUCUAAACAGUGAAUAAUUAAGAAUGAAUGAUAAAUUACUCAUAGCUUUUAUCAAUUUUAAUAUUUUUAAGAAAACGGUGAUUUAUUUACUGUUCAAGACUAAUUUUAUAAUAUUUUUUUUGAAAAAUUAUUUUUAUAAUUAUAAUAUUUUUUAGGUAUAUUGAUAAAAAAAAUAGAAAUUACUCUCUGAAAUAAUUUUUACAGUAUUUCUCUUACCCACGUAAAAAAGUCCAUAAAGGACCGGCCCAAGACGGCCCAAAAGAGAGAAGGCAAAGGGCCCAAAUAGAUUUUAAGUAAAUUAGGAUUUUUUUUUUUAAAUCUCGAAAACUGGCCAUAACGGUUAUGGGGAGAUUGAACCUCCGACAUCAGAGUCAGCAACUAAGAUUCCAACAAACUACACUAGACAGUGGUGCGUGGUAGGCAUAUUUGAAUCUUAGAACGAGUUAUAAACGAAUAAAUGAUGCAUUAUAAAGAUUUUCUAUUAUGUUUUUUUUUUAUAUAUAAUUUUUAUCAACUAGGAUUUUCUAUUAUGAUUAUCAUCUAGAAAUUUGCUUUUUGUACAUUUCAAGAUCCGCGUAUAAUGAUUUUUCAAAAUAAAAGCGUUCUAUGUACCCACGAAAUUGUUUAUUUUAUUUGAAAAAAAUGUCUAAGCUGGAAAAGACUGACAUGGUCGCUUUGCCUUUAGAAUACCUGUGGAGAUGUUGAAAACUUCAAUCACUCUAUGCGCGCCCCAAACUAGACCUCGUUCAACCAACUUAUACGCAAGCUCAGACUAAAACUACAUUGAAUUGUUGGCUGUUAUUUUUAAUUUGAAACUUCUGCUUUUGAUACCUAAUCACUCAUUUUCAAUUUAUCAUUACAACUUCAAAAUUCUAUAUUAAUUAUUUGUUUACCAAACAAAUGGCAUUUUGCUUUUCGAUCGUAAAAGUCAUUCCAAAAAAUAUCAUACAAGAAUUUUCUGUGCACUGAAUUAUACAAGAAAACUGCACAGCGAUAUAUCUAAGUUGACUUUGAGAAGGCAAAAUUGAACACAAACACAUUUUAAUAUUUUUGCAUGGAGCUAGAGAUCACUAUGAGAUUGUGGACUCAUGGAGCUUCUCCAUGUAGAGGGAACUUUUCCAAGUAAACCACUAAACAAUGUGAUCCCAAUAUACACCUCACUCAACUCAAUUGCCACAUGCAAAGAUCUCUUAAAUUAAAUAAUUCCUUGUGCUUAACAGCUUUGCCCAAACGCAUACCCACACGAAACACCAACUAUUUUAGUAGCAAAAGUGCUUUUUUUCAAAAGCCACUAACAAGUGUAAUGUGAGAGCAAUACAAUUAUGCAUGUUAGGAGAAGCUGUACAUGUCCUGGCCUUGUCAAUGGGCAUGCAUUAUGGAACUGAUCUCUAAUCCAAAGUGACUAAUCUUAUCACCGAUUUUAAUGCGUCGUGACAUGCACUUCAUUAGCCGUCCAUUAUCGCUCGUCAUUCGGUAAAAAGCAAGCACAAUAUAUAAUCAAUAUAUAGUUUAUGACUAAUCAAAUUAUCUAUAUCUAUAUAUAUCUACAUAUAUAUAUAUGUAUUAAGCAACUUUGUAGCUAUAAAUUGAGCAUCAUUGAGAUACUGCUUAGGCUAUAGAGUUAUUGUAUCAUCACUCAUCAAAAUACUAGGUUUAGCUAAGAUGAAGGGUGGUUAUAGGUGUGUUAGCUACAACUUGUUCCUCUCAACUUUAGUUGUGUUGUGUUUUAGCCAAAGUAGUGUGAGAUCUCAAUUGACACCUAAUUUCUAU